rnacentral:rRNA from 1 species
UACGUAGGUGGCGAGCGUUGUCCGGAUUUACUGGGCGUAAAGGGAGCGUAGGCGGAUUUUUAAGUGAGAUGUGAAAUACUCGGGCCCAACUUGAGUGCUGCAUUUCAAACUGGAAGUCUAGAGUGCAGGAGAGGAGAAUGGAAUUCCUAGUGUAGCGGUGAAAUGCGUAGAGAUUAGGAAGAACACCAGUGGCGAAGGCGAUUCUCUGGACUGUAACUGACGCUGAGGCUCGAAAGCGUGGGGAGCAAACAGG